rnacentral:rRNA from 1 species
UACGUAGGGUGCGAGCGUUGUCCGGAAUUAUUGGGCGUAAAGAGCUCGUAGGCGGUUUGUCGCGUCGGCCGUGAAAACCUGCAGCUUAACUGUGGGCGUGCGGUCGAUACGGGCAUCACUGGAGUUCGGCAGGGGAGACUGGAAUUCCUGGUGUAGCGGUGAAAUGCGCAGAUAUCAGGAGGAACACCGGUGGCGAAGGCGGGUCUCUGGGCCGAUACUGACGCUGAGGAGCGAAAGCGUGGGGAGCAAACAGG